GGUCAGUGAUGAGACUCAACAUGUAUUAUCUGACUCUAAAGUUGAAGAUCACCACUUUAGCUCUAGAAUUACUCUGAGACCUG
rnacentral:snoRNA from 1 species